GUUCUACUCCCUCCGUCCGAAAAUACUUGUCCUAAAAAGGAUAAGAUGGACGUAUCUAUAACUAAAAUAAGUCUAGAUAUGACCAUCUCGAGGACAAGUAUUUUCGAACGGAGGGAGUAUCAU
rfam:Triticum aestivum genome assembly, contig: Triticum_aestivum_CS42_TGACv1_scaffold_576927_7BL